UACGUAGGGUGCAAGCGUUGUCCGGAAUUAUUGGGCGUAAAGAGCUCGUAGGCGGUUUGUCGCGUCGAAUGUGAAAACCCGGGGCUCAACCCCGGGCCUGCAUUCGAUACGGGCAGACUAGAGUUCGGUAGGGGAGUCUGGAAUUCCUGGUGUAGCGGUGAAAUUCGCAGAUAUCAGGAGGAACACCGGUGGCGAAGGCGGAUCUCUGGGCCUUACCUGACGCUGAGGAGCGAAAGCGUGGGGAGCGAACAGG
rnacentral:rRNA from 1 species